AUUGAACGCUGGCGGCAGGCCUAACACAUGCAAGUCGAGCGAGCGGCGGACGGGUGAGUAAUGUAUGGGGACUGCCCGAUAGAGGGGGAUAACUACUGGAAACGGUGGCUAAUACCGCAUACUAUCGGAUAACCCAUAUGGGAUUAGCUAGUAGGUGGGGUAAAGGCUCACCUAGGCGACGAUCUCUCGCUGGUCUGAGAGGAUGAUCAGCAACACGGGGACUGAGCAACGGCCCAGAGUCCGACGGAGGCGGCAGUAGGGAAUCUUCGGCAAAGGACGAAAGUCUGAUGCAGCGACGCCGAGUGGGGGAUUAAGGCUUUCGGGUUGUAAACCUCUUUCGCUAUCGAACGGGUAGGUGGAGAAGAAGCGCCGGCUAACUACGUGCCAGCAGCCGCGGUAAUAC
rnacentral:rRNA from 1 species